rnacentral:rRNA from 1 species
UACGGGGGGGGCAAGCGUUGUUCGGAAUUACUGGGCGUAAAGCGCGCGUAGGUGGCCACAUAAGUCCGUUGUGAAAGUCAAAGGCUCAACCUUUGAAAGCCGAUGGAUACUGUGUGGCUAGAGUACGGAAGAGGCGAGUGGAAUUCCUGGUGUAGCGGUGGAAUGCGCAGAUAUCAGGAGGAACACCAAUAGCGAAGGCAGCUCGCUGGGACGUUACUGACACUGAGGCGCGAAAGCGUGGGGAGCGAACAGG